rnacentral:rRNA from 1 species
UACGAAGGGGGCUAGCGUUGUUCGGAAUUACUGGGCGUAAAGGGCGCGUAGGCGGUGUGUCAAGUCAGGCGUGAAAGCCCCGGGCUCAACCUGGGAACCGCGCUUGAGACUGGCACGCUCGAGUUCGGGAGAGGAUGGUGGAAUUCCCAGUGUAGAGGUGAAAUUCGUAGAUAUUGGGAAGAACACCGAUGGCGAAGGCAGCCAUCUGGACCGACACUGACGCUGAGGCGCGAAAGCGUGGGGAGC